GCGGCGGUUGAAAGAGUUGUACGCUCGUAUAGACAUUCUCAGCUUCGUUUUCUUUAUUGUUCAAAAAGUAAAAAAAGGGGGAAAAAACCAAUGGCAAAUCGAGAUUGUUUGGGCUGUGAAUCAUUAACGUUGCGUGAAUAACCCACAGGAAGGUUAUAUCCAAAACCAUAUAAAUUAUAAGUUUUGAAGAAAAAACUAUUAGACAUUAUAAACGAAUUUUAUAAUUAUACAGAGGGAAAUUAAUUUUUAAAUAUUAUCAAAAAAUAUAUACAUUUGACAUUGGGCGUGAAAAAUGGUUAAGUUUCUUAUGAUCUGCAACAAUCUGUAAGAUUUUUAAAAUAUAAGUAAUAUUUCUGAAAAUUAGUUCUAAAAAUAAUAGAAGUUGGCCUUCCUUUAUUGUAAGCAAAUUAUGAAUAUUCAAGUGUUAUUUCUUCACCUCCUAGAACCAAAGAUUUAUAGAUCUUAAUCCCUGGACGGUGGCACCCAGUUGGCAGCCAGUCAUUCGAUUUCCAUAUGAAAGUGAUCAACCGAGGCCCCAUUCCAACUUUUCCCUCUUUUUAAGUCGAAGGGAGUGCCAUCCACAUAAAAGAGCCGAAAAGCCGCAAGUCAAUAUUUGUCGCGGCGUUGAGCAAUUUUAAUUGGAUAUUUGUCGUAACCCUCUGACUAUAUAGCACCCCAUACCCCCGAAAACCUCUCUGCAAAAGCCACAAGUCAAAGAAAAAGCGACAAGUGCGGCGUACUGUCCAUAUUUUUGUGUCUUAACGCUAAGCGGAAUUAGCAUAUGAAUAAACUUUUGGGCGGCACUGUGUUCGUGUGUUUUGGCUCGUUUCAGUUCGGAUCGCUUUGGUUGGCUGUGUUUUUUUCUCUUGGCUCGGGUGUCCCACUGUAGAAGGCGGUAAUAUUUUCUACAUCAAAGGCGGACCACACCGAAUCGCGGGGAGGAGCUCGGGCCAACAUGUGCACUUUAACGCACAUGAAACUGAUCCCAAAUUGGAGGUCACGUAGUCGUCCGCAGAAAUGGCCAGUGCAGCACACUUGCAGAAAAAGAAGUGCCUAAUGGGAUGUACUUUAAUUGCGUUAUUUAAUUAAGCGAUUUUUUUCGGAGUGCCCUGUCCAACGCCUUCGUUUUGGCCUGGCUCAUAUAAAUUACACAAUGCAGCCGCUGAAACCCAACGCAGCAACAACAUGAAAAGCGGCAACAACAAAUCGAAUGGCAGCGGACCGCAACCGCCGAUGGAGGCAAGUGAAACCCUGUAAAUGCAAUGAAAUGGAUUUUAACUUGUGCAAUUUUUCAAAAGCAAAAACCGAGGAGCACAAGCUGGCAAAGACGAAAAUUAAAGAUCGCAAGUCGGCCAAAAACAACGUCGGCAUGGCAAUAAUAUGGUUUUGAUGUUUCAACAAGGUCAAAACAGCUGCCACUCCCCCCGCCCUCCGCCCCCUGACCCCUAAAACGCCUCCACAAUUCCAGAGCAAACAAAAGCCAUAAACAUAAUGCGCCGCUUCACGCAAUUUUUUCGACCCAAGGAUCACAGCACGGAGAGAAAUAAUCGCUGAAGUUUAUAGGAAUCCAAUAAUGUUUAUAAAAGUUGAUUUAAAAUAAAAUACCAUAUUAAAUUUAAAAUAUAUAAUUUUUCAAUACUAAGUUGUGAUUAAAAUGUAUUUUUAAAUAAACUGA